rnacentral:rRNA from 1 species
UACGUAGGGUGCGAGCGUUAAUCGGAAUUACUGGGCGUAAAGCGUGCGCAGGCGGUUUGUUAAGACAGAUGUGAAAUCCCCGGGCUUAACCUGGGAACUGCAUUUGUGACUGGCAAGCUAGAGUAUGGCAGAGGGGGGUAGAAUUCCACGUGUAGCAGUGAAAUGCGUAGAGAUGUGGAGGAAUACCGAUGGCGAAGGCAGCCCCCCUGGGCCAAUACUGACGCUCAUGCACGAAAGCGUGGGGAGCAAACAGGAUUACGAAACCCGAG